AAUAAUAAUAAUAAUUAAAGCUGCAAGCAGCGAUAUGAGGGCCCUCGCACCCCCGGCGCGUCGAGCCAAGCCCAACACCUAAAACCAGCGCUUCCGAUCUGAUGUCACAUUGAUGGAAUUCAUGCAUUUAACCACCAGCUAAAAUUUCAUCUCAUUCAACCAUUAUUAUAGUCGUCCCACUAGGUGGCGCUCUAACCAUUACUGACAAAUGGUAUAACAAACAUUUCCGAGCUUGAGUCUCAUCACGCCUGCGACCUUUGGGAGAGAUUGGACAUUGUGUUUUUGAGCGACAGCAGGUUACUGCUUUUUGGCAAGUGAUUGAAACUCCACGUGCCGCCAUGACCACCCCGUUUCCCUGAACGUAAAAAGCUUCGCAAUUUAACAUCACAAAGGUCUUUAGAUUCCACACACAGGAGAUCGCGUAAAUCUAAUGAAAUCCCUUGGAGGAGUUCGUCAAAGUAUGAGGCCUGAAAAGAGGGGAAAAUGUCGCCAAAUUUACACAUUAAUUUUAAAAUGGCUGACUUCCUGUUGGAUUUGGGAUAUUGCUCCAAGAGACUUUUUUGUACAUCUUGAUAUCUCCAAUAAGCUUGCCAGGUUUCAAACUCAUACAUAAAACACAGAGCAGGGGCUGUUGUUUUGAAAUUUUGUAGGGGGCGCUGUGGAGCCAUUUUGCGCUGUUCAAGGAAAAUGAACAUAUAAAAAGAAAUCCCUCAUCACAUUAGAGGUGUGCGCCAAAUUUCAAGACUUUUUAAACUUUUCAAGCCCCUCAAAAGCCACUUCAUCUUUCAUGGUGAACUGCGUUGCCACCAGGGUGCGCCGUUCAGUUUAUAGUCACAAUUUUCU
ensembl:lncRNA